UACGGGGGGGGCAAGCGUUGUUCGGAAUUACUGGGCGUAAAGGGCUCGUAGGUGGCCAACUAAGUCAGACGUGAAAUCCCCCGGCUCAACCGGGGAAUAGCGUCCCAAACCGCCGUGCUCGAGGGAGACAGAGGUGAGCGGAACUGAUGGUGGAGCGGUGAAAUGCGUUGAUAUCAUCAGGAACACCAGUGGCGAAGGCGGCUCACUGGGUCUUUCCUAACGCUGAGGCACGAAAGCUAGGGGAGCGAACGGG
rnacentral:rRNA from 1 species